CCUACGGGUGGCAGCAGUGGGGAAUAUUGGGCAAUGGGCGAAAGCCUGACCCAGCAACGCCGCGUGAAGGAAGAAGGCUUUCGGGUUGUAAACCUCUUUUGACAGGGAAGAGCAUAAGACCGUACCUGUCCUAUAAGCCACGGCCAAAUACGUGCCAGUCGCCGCGGUAAUACGUAGGGGGCAAGGGUUGUCCGGGUUUUCUGGGUGUAAAGGGCGUGUUGCGGGGCUGAGCAGGCUGAUGUGAAAUCCGGGGGCUCAACCCCCGAACUGCAGUUGAAACUGUUGGUCUUGAGUAGCGGAGAGGCAGGCGGAAUUCCUAGUGUAGCGGUGAAAUGCGUAGAUAUUAGGAGGAACACCAGUGGCGAAGGCGGCCUACUGGACGACAACUGACGGUGAGGCGCGAAAGCGUGGGGAGCAAACAGGAUUAGAUACCCCUGUAGUC
rnacentral:rRNA from 1 species